UACGUAGGGCGCAAGCGUUGUCCGGAAUUAUUGGGCGUAAAGAGCUCGUAGGUGGCUUGUCGCGUCUGCCGUGAAAACCCGAGGCUCAACCUCGGGCGUGCGGUGGGUACGGGCAGGCUAGAGUGUGGUAGGGGAGACUGGAACUCCUGGUGUAGCGGUGAAAUGCGCAGAUAUCAGGAAGAACACCGAUGGCGAAGGCAGGUCUCUGGGCCAUUACUGACACUGAGGAGCGAAAGCAUGGGUAGCGAAC
rnacentral:rRNA from 2 species